GCCGCGACCUUCAGCGGGUGAGGACGCGCUCUUGGUUCUAGUGCCUCUCGAUCCAUCGUGGCAUAUUGUGACCUUCUGGCCCUUCUAAUUCGCUGAAAAGGAGAAAGUACUAUAUAAUUGCAACGCCCAUUUUUAGGAAAUCAGUUGCAGAGACGCAAACAACAGCAGAAACAA